CCAAAAAAUAAAUAAAUCUCUACUCAUUUUUUUUUUUUUUAUCCUUCUAAGUCCAACUCUCAAACUCUUUUUAGAUGUUGGUUUUAUAAUUUUAUGUCUAAACUUGCAAGAGAUUGUAUUUCUGUUAAUUGGAUAUUUUGAGUUGGGCUGUUCUUGCAUAUGUGCUCCAGGGAGAGCUGUGGGGCUGUUACCACUGGAUACACUGAAACCUACUGUAGAGGAUGACUCAGCAUUUCUAUAACUGGUCCCAGACCUGUCUGGGCUUUAGACUUCUCUGACUAUAGCCUGGUCCCAGACCUGUCUGGGCUUUAGACUUCUCUGACUAUAGCCUGGUCCCAGACCUGUCUGGGCUUUAGACUUCUCUGACUAUUGUUGUCAUGCCAUACAUGUUACAUGUCUUAUACAUGUUUGAAAGGGCAACAAUACUCCUGAGGAGUUGCCUGAAGCUUUUAGAGGUCUGGGACCAGGCAAGUAUUGACACACUUUAUGCACCUGUCCCUCUGGGUUACUUUUCACAUUUGGGUUAUAAAAGCAGCACCAACAUACAAUAGCUUUUGGGUUGUGAUUGUGUGAUAGAAUAUGUGCUCCCCAUAGUUUCAACUGAAUGUCUGUUUGUGUGGUUGUUUUUUCUCUUCGGUUGUAACUGUGGCGUGAGUGUGAUUUUGAUUACAGGUGCUUGUCAAGGUGUUGAAAAGGCAGUGUGACCCUGCCCAUUGAGGCUGAAGUGUCCGAACGUGUUUUUAAAAGGGAAAAGGGUCCUCCUUUGUGGCGGUUUCUUGCUUGUAAUGAUUUAUUUUUACAUACUUCGUUUUAAAUUGGUCUAAAAUUCUGUUUGGUGCAUGUGCUGGAAAAGGAAAGUUUUAUUGAAUGUAGCUUACCAUAUACACAGUGCACAUUCAUGCCUUUUGAUGAUUAUUGUGGUGCUUUGUUACAUUUAUUUAUUGGAUAUUAUUUCACCAAAUGCUGUUUUAUCCCACUGGAAAAAAAUGUAUGUUCAGCAGUGACUACCUGCUAUUAAAACGAGUUGGAGAAUAAAA